GGGCUUAUGAUGAUGAUUUAAUUAUCUUAGCGGAUUUCAAUCAGAGAUUUCUAUCGGUGAUCUGAUUGUUACCUACACUGAAGCCC